AGAAUUAUCCUUGCUUCCUUACAGCUUCCAAUCCAGGCCAAAGUCCCUCUUUCUUGCACCCUUCCGUAAAUCUCCUAACACAAACUCAAAUUCUAUAACAAGUCCUUUUUAACACCCUCUUCCUAAGACAUCCCAUGGUUCCCCAUGGUGUGCAUUCUCACGUACUGAAACAAGCAAUACAUCCAAGUUGCUCAGCUAUAGUUGUGUUCCUGGUGGUCAUUAUCGGGAGGUCGUUAACAAUAAUCAAGUCCAAGAUAUGCAAGUGAUGAUGUCAAAGAAACAGAUGAAUAUAUUGGUCUGGGGUAUAGUUCAGGGUGAAGAAAUAAACUUGGCAGUUAUGAAUUUAUAGAUGAAACCUAGUCUUGGACUAUACGAUAUUAUCUAAGCAAAGAUUGUAGAUGGAGAGUUGGGCUAUGAUAACUUCCAACAUUUCAUAGUUGAGCAGAGGAGGAGGAAGAACCAGCAAGAGACUGAGAAGUAGUAGUCUGUGAGGUAAGAAGGUGAUGUCAUAGAAGUCAAGAGCAGAAAGUUUUACAAUUAGAAGAAAGUGGUCAGCUAUAGCAAAUGCUUCACAGAAGUAGUGAGGAUACAGAAUUGAUCAGAGAUAGUCAUUAGAGCCUUCAGAAAGAGCAGCUUUGGAGUGAGACAGAAAGACUAUAUUGAAUUUAUUGACGAACAAAAGAUCUACAAAUGGAGACAACUCUUGAGAAUGGGAACUUGGUAAAAAAAAAACCUGCAAAUCUACCAAGGGAGAAAAAGUAUUUAUAGUAUGAAAUAAAUAUGUUGCACCUAAAGGUAAUUACAGCAUGCAAAGAAAACAAAUAACACAUAUUUUCCUCCUAAGAUAUACAGAUUUCAAACACUCUGGAGAAAAAAAUCCUGUUAUUAUUACUAAAAUUCAGAGAGACUCACAGGACCAAAUUCAUAUUUUAAGAAUUUAAAUGCAAACUUAUGAAAAUUGAGAUUUCUGUACAUUCCCAGGGCUCCAGUAUAUAGUCAAAUACUAUUAGGACUGGGAGGUCAAGGAGCAAGUACUGUGAUAUGUCAAGUUUCGUCUCCAGGGACUGAAACUUGCUAGCAUGAGAGCAGCAGCUUAAUCUUUCUAUGUGAAAAAAUACACUUGUCCCAUGAUCCUCCACAAGGCAGGAGAUGGAGGAAAUAUUGCAGGAGUCUCUUUGCUGAAGUCUUUGUUAACAGCAUGACCAUGGAUGGACAGUGACUGGCAUUUAAUUUUGACAUGAGGAGGGAGGAGAAGCCAGCAAUACUCAGUGCCUCUA
rnacentral:lncRNA from 10 species